rnacentral:lncRNA from 1 species
UCCUCUGUCUCAAUGAUUUGCUUUAGGGGAGGUGUGACUUUUGGAAAUAUGGAAAAGAAAAAGGAGACAUUUGGCAUGUUUGUCCAUGUGGCGUGAAAAAUAUAAAGGGGAGGAGUGGAGACACAGGAAAAAGUGAAGAAAUAAAUCAACAAAGGAGAUAAUUAGAUAUUCACUCGGAUCCUCAUUUCUUCCCCCAGCAGCAAGAGCUACUCUUUAAAACUUGAAUUGAGAAAUGAAGAGGCCAAAUGAGGAGGAUUUAAAAGGCCUUUAGCCAAGAGCAUCUCAACAGGACAAACAAGCAUACUGUGAAAUACACCUGUCACCGCCCUGUAGUAGUCACCUCAGUGCCCGGGGACCAGGUCACGGUGGACCCAGGCCUGGAGGUGUGGUCUGUGACUUCCAAGUCUGUCUCUGUUUGACGAAGGAGGGACAGUAGGCAGCCCUCCUUGGUGUAGUCCCAGUGACAGACCACCACCAUCCUCUUCACACAUGGACCGGAAGCCCUCAGGAGGCCUUGCCAAUGCUCCUGUCCCAUCCUGCCUCCACAGAGGGCCUCAGGAGAAUGGUUCACAGCAACAAGCACACUCCUGCAGCAGGUCAGCUGCUGUCAAGCCACUGCCAGCCCACCUGGGCUCAACACUGGGUGGCACAGGCCAGAGUGGCUUCUGAACUGUGCCUGCUGUUUGCUGUGAGACAAGAUCCAUCACCAGGUAAAUUCAGAACACUUUUCUCUCCAGUCUCCCUGAUACCUGACCCCAACAUUUUAUUUAAACCUCACCUAGCCCCAUGAGUUAGGUGCUGUGUUAUUAUUCCCCUCUUACACACAAGAAAUUCAAGGUAUUGCAAGUUAGGCAACUUGAUCAACAUUCACAAAGAUGUGCAUCUCAGCCUAAAUUAUAAUAACAAAAUAAAUAUCUAACAGUAGGCAAGUUAUAUGUAAUUAAUUAUAAUGUGUUCAUUUGGUG